rnacentral:rRNA from 1 species
CCUACGGGCGGCUGCAGUGGGGAAUAUUGCACAAUGGGCGCAAGCCUGAUGCAGCCAUGCCGCGUGUGUGAAGGAGGCCUUCGGGUUGUAAAGCACUUUCAGCGGGGAGGAAGGCGGUGAGGUUAAUAACCUCAUCGAUUGACGUUACCCGCAGAAGAAGCACCGGCUAACUCCGUGCCAGCAGCCGCGGUAAUACGGAGGGUGCAAGCGUUAAUCGGAAUUACUGGGCGUAAAGCGCACGCAGGCGGUCUGUCAAGUCGGAUGUGAAAUCCCCGGGCUCAACCUGGGAACUGCAUUCGAAACUGGCAGGCUAGAGUCUUGUAGAGGGGGGUAGAAUUCCAGGUGUAGCGGUGAAAUGCGUAGAGAUCUGGAGGAAUACCGGUGGCGAAGGCGGCCCCCUGGACAAAGACUGACGCUCAGGUGCGAAAGCGUGGGGAGCAAACAGGAUUAGAUACCCGAGUAGUC